rnacentral:lncRNA from 1 species
GUGUGUAUAUGUAUGGGUGGGUGUGUGUGUGUGUGUGUAUAUAUAUAUUUAUAUAUAUGUGUACACAAAAUAUAUUUAAAGCCUUUAUUUAACUAGAUAUGUUAUUAACAAGUUUUUAUUUACAAUAACGACCUGGACGAGAAAAACACAAGGGCAGAUAAUUGAAACUUUCAAAUAAUAAAAUGGUUCAACAGUAAAAGUCUUGCAUUGGUAAAUGAAAUGCAAUAUAAUUCAAGACAUUUGUACUCAAAACAUGUGCAAGUUUCAGUAAGCGCAUCGAUUAAAAUGCAUUUAAAGACUGGGAUUAAUGGUUAAGGGCUUGACAAUUAAACUUUUUUUAAAUGACCUUUUUUUUGACUAGUGUAGGAAUAGUUUGCAGGCUUUUUUGUUGAAUAACACAGAGUACAUGCUAUCCAACAAUGGUCACUGCAAAACACUCCAGCUUGAUACUUAGAAGGGGUUGUUGUAAGAAUUAUGUAAAUAAGUGAAUCCUUGUCAGGAUUUUUUUGGGUCAUAUCUGGGGGGCUGUUAUAUAAUUUGAUUAAUGCUUAAUUAAUCCAAUUGUAAAUUUACUUUCUCAGUUACAUUUAUCAUAUGCCAAUUUAGGUCACCUAAUAAGACUAGGUCUGAUCUGCUAAAAGGAACCAAUAUGGAGCUUAGUGUUUCUAAAGUGCAGGAUGGAUGAACGGAGGAAGCAGGAGGGCCGGCUGGAGCUGAGCCGGCUCGAGUUGAGCCAGCUUGCGCUGGGCCGGCUUGACCUGCGCCGGCUCGAGCUGAGCCGACUCGAGGAGAGCCGGCUCAAGGAGAUCCAGCUGGAGCUGAGCCGGCUGGAGAGGAGCUGGCUGGAGGAGAGCCGCCUGAACCUCAGCUGGCUGGAGUUGAGCCAGCUUGCGCUGGGCCGGCUUGACCUGCGCCGCCUCGAGCUGAGCCGACUCGAGGAGAGCCGGCUCAAGGACAUCCAGCCGGAGCUGAGCUGGCUGGAGAGGAGCUGGGUGGAGGAGAGCCGCCUGUACCUCAGCUGGCUGGAGCUGAGCCGGCUGGAGGAGUGGAGGCUGGGGAUGAUCAGGAGGUCCUGGCUGAUCAGGAGGUUGAGCCAGACUGCAGCUGGGGGCCACAAAGUAAAUAAAUAAACCCAUUCAUUCACAUCAGUGGUGUAGUUUGAUUCUUU